GACGAACGCUGGCGGCGUGCUUAACACAUGCAAGUCGAACGGAAAGGCCCUGCUUUUGUGGGGUGCUCGAGUGGCGAACGGGUGAGUAACACGUGAGCAACCUGCCCUUGACUUUGGGAUAACUUCAGGAAACUGGGGCUAAUACCGGAUAGGAGCUCCUGCUGCAUGGUGGGGGUUGGAAAGUUUCGGCGGUUGGGGAUGGACUCGCGGCUUAUCAGCUUGUUGGUGGGGUAGUGGCUUACCAAGGCUUUGACGGGUAGCCGGCCUGAGAGGGUGACCGGCCACAUUGGGACUGAGAUACGGCCCAGACUCCUACGGGAGGCAGCAGUGGGGAAUAUUGCACAAUGGGCGGAAGCCUGAUGCAGCAACGCCGCGUGCGGGACGACGGCCUUCGGGUUGUAAACCGCUUUCGCCUGUGACGAAGCGUGAGUGACGGUAAUGGGUAAAGAAGCACCGGCUAACUACGUG
rnacentral:rRNA from 1 species